rnacentral:ncRNA from 1 species
CUGACUGCGUGUACGGCUCUCCAUUUCCAAGUCGUGCACAGCUUUAAUAAGGAGGAAAACAGCACGCCCGGACUCGGGCUGCGGCAGUGUGGAGACCUGUCGCAUAAGCGGCGCAUUCCCCGCGAAUGGCCGUGAGGGCGUUCCUUGCGAAGGCAGAACGCUCAGAGUCGAGAAACAUGGCA